rnacentral:rRNA from 1 species
UACGUAGGGUGCGAGCGUUUAAUCGGAAUUACUGGGCGUAAAGAGCUCGUAGGCGGUCUGUCGCGUCGGCUGUGAAAACCCGGGGCUCAACCCCGGGCCUGCAGUCGAUACGGGCAGACUAGAGUGCGGUAGGGGAGACUGGAAUUCCUGGUGUAGCGGUGAAAUGCGCAGAUAUCAGGAGGAACACCGGUGGCGAAGGCGGGUCUCUGGGCCGUAACUGACGCUGAGGAGCGAAAGCGUGGGGAGCGAACAGG